rnacentral:rRNA from 1 species
CCUACGGGGGGCAGCAGUGAGGAAUAUUGGUCAAUGGGCGCGAGCCUGAACCAGCCAAGUCGCGUGAGGGAAGACGGUCCUAUGGAUUGUAAACCUCUUUUGUCGGGGAGCAAAAGACGCCACGCGUGGCGUUCCGAGAGUACCCGAAGAAAAAGCAUCGGCUAACUCCGUGCCAGCAGCCGCGGUAAUACGGAGGAUGCGAGCGUUAUCCGGAUUUAUUGGGUUUAAAGGGUGCGCAGGCGGAAGAUCAAGUCAGCGGGAAAAUUGGGAGGCUCAACCUCUUCGAGCCGUUGAAACUGGUUUUCUUGAGUGAGUGAGAAGUAUGCGGAAUGCGUGGUGUAGCGGUGAAAUGCAUAGAUAUCACGAAGAACUCCGAUUGCGAAGGCAGCAUACCGGCGCUCAACUGACGCUCAUGCACGAAAGUGUGGGUAUCGAACAGGAUUAGAUACCCGAGUAGUC